rnacentral:misc_RNA from 1 species
GGAAGUAAAAGUCGUAAUAAGGUUUCCGUAGGUGAACCUGCGGAAGGAUCAUUAACGAAUAUCGUGCGGGGUUGAAGCUGGCCUCUCGGGGCAUGUGCUCGCCUUGCUCAUAUCCAUCUCACACCUGCGCACACUCGCGUGGGUCGGUCGGGCUCUUUUUUGCGCCCUUCCGAGCCGCGUCUUCUCACAAACUCUUCGUAUGUCUUCAGAAUGGUAUCAAUGCUAUAAAACGCAUCUUAUACAACUUUCAACAAUGGAUCUCUCGGCUCUC